rnacentral:misc_RNA from 1 species
GAUCACUUUCCCAGUUUUCAAUCCUUUGUUUUUUCCCAAGAAAAUUGGAAUUUGGGUUGUUUGAGUUCUACCUUAAAAAGUGAUUUAAAACGAGAUUUCCAAUAAACACUAUUUUCCAAUUUGGGGCAGGACUCCUGAGAUGGAGUGCUGUGAUUUUAUUUUCAAAAGCUCUGGAAAGUGUGUUAUUUUACUAGCAGCUUGAAAGCACAUUUGGAAAAAAUAAACAGCGGUGAGUAGUCUAUCCGAUUGGAGUCUCUGUUUCAUGACGUAAAUUGAUCAUUUAUUCACGCAUUGUUCGAAAGUUAAUAUGCAAUCAUACACUAAUCGAAUUUGUGCAGUUUGUGGAGAUACACCGGCUAAGAUUCAUUAUGGCGUUCUAGCUUGUUUUGGAUGUAAAGGUUUUUUCCGGAGAGCAGUAAAAGACGGACGAAACAAAUAUGUUUGUAGAUUUGAGAAAAAUUGUGAAGUUACCAAAUUUGAAAGAAAUGCCUGCCGAUACUGCCGUUUCAGAAAAUGCCUUCUUGUCGGAAUGAACCCAGAUUAUGUUCGACCAGAUCGAGAAAAAAGUAAAAAAGGAAAAACAGUGUUAUCAAAAAAGAAAAGUGUGUCUCGAAGUUUGUCAUAUCGACUAGCAGAUCCUUCUGAUUGGACAUCAUUUUUAUCUCCAUCAUCACGAAAACAACUUUCUGAAAUUGGAAAACUCGCCGAAACAUGUUCAACUUCAACUAAUUUUGAUGGAAUAGGAAAUUUUUCACUGAAAAGUUUAAUAGCUGAUCGUUCAUUGGCACGGAAAACUGGAGAUUCUGAAGCCAUGGAUUGUUCAAAUUCACCCAGACAGUUGAAUGAACAAUUUUUGGGAAUAGAGAGAAUUGUGCAAUGUGUCGAUUACAUUGAUCGAUUUUUGGUCAUGUUGGAAGAAGAACACUGUAGAAAGUUUAGUGUUGAAGAUAAGAGCGCAUUGAUAAGUGAUACAAUGAUUCAUUUGCUGCUCUUCGAGUCCACUUCAAGAUUUGUUGCAAAAGGAGCACCUGGGCUGGAAGAUCUGAAAUUGUCACUUGCACAACUUCCAAUAUGUACAACUCAUUUAACUCAGAAAAUUGCGGAUGUUUUCGAAACUUACCUGAGAAAGCCUCCAUCAAUAAUUGAAUAUUCAGUAUUGAAAGCAUAUAUUGUAUUGUCAGCUGAGAGUACAGUGUUGUCAAACUCAUUGAAUGAAAGCCUUUCGUUGGCUCGAGAGAAUUUAUCAGAACUUUUGUUCAAAGUUAUCAAACACAGUAGAAACAAGACUUCAAUAUCAGCAGCAAACAGUUUAUCAACUAUUCUUCAUUUUGUUUAUGAAUCCCGGAAUCUGGCAUCUCGAAUUCGACAAUCUCAGCAACCAUUUUUUGUCCGGGAUUCUGAUCCCAAGAUCCCAUUCCACAAAAUUCUCACCGACAUAAUAAAUCCAGAAGUAUCAGAUCUUCUGCUGACAACUGCUAACUGUCGUAAAUUAUCAACUCAAAUGGGAUCAUCACUUUCAUCAGUUCCACCAGUUCCUCCACCAUCUGAUACAGUUCCUUUAUUCCAUUUCUCACCUCCAUCAUUGUCUCCUUGUCAAAUCAGUGCACCUCCACCGCCACAACAACAGUACACAGAUUAUUCUCAAAUGCCGUCUACCUCUUCUUAUCCAGCAAAUUCAAGUCCUUUCCAAUCUCCAUACCGCCCGAAUUCACUCUCAUCAUUUCCGAAAAUUCCUCUUGAAAUGACAAAAUCAAUUGAAGAAUUUCUUCGUCCAAAUGGAAUGACAACUGAUGAAAUGAACAAACCAUUGGAAAAAAAUUGGGCAGAUGGAUUCAGAUUGACUCCAGUUUUUAAUAAAGAUAUUGUCUCUCAAUUUUUCCCCGAACUUUCUAAUAUUAAUCAACAUCACCCUUUUUAA